rnacentral:ncRNA from 2 species
AUUUUAUAGAGAAGAGGGGAGAGAACGGGCUCUAAGAACCUCUGGCAACCAUGCUUUUUUAAGCGAAAAGUGAAAAGCGAAAAGUGAAAAGUAAGAUUAGCUGCUUUUCGCUUUUCACUUUUCACUUUUCACUAAAUAAAAGUAACGGUGCCAAAUCCCGCCAUUAAUGGGCAUAUAAAAU